CCAGAGGCAGGUUGAACUUCGGUAAAAAGCACUGCGUUUAGAAAUGUAACAACAGCGCUUUAGAAGUCUCUAAAGAAAAGCUUAAUUGUUCGAAUUUAGAUAACUAGGAAACUCGUUGUGACCUACAUUGCUGGUCUGAGUCAGCACUGAACAGCCAGCUUGCAAACUUGUACACACUCCAAUUCUUACCCUCAGCAACGGAUCUUUUGGGUGGAGCUCUUUUCCACAGUUUCUGUAAGCACUUUAUUUGGUGGUUGCUAGUCCCAUGUUUACAAAUAAAUAAAGUUAGAUGGAGAGACAAGGUGGGUGAGGUAAUAUCUUUUAUUGGUAAUAUCCUGGGACCCAGCAGGGCUGUAACACUGCAUACAAAGUUACGUGGAGUCCGUUUCUCGUCUCAUAUCUAGCUUUGUCAAAACUGCCUCCCUACUUGCGGUUUUCAGUACUGUACAGUCAGAAUAGAUGCAAUUUAAGAUUAUUUUAAUAGCUUAUUUGUUAGUAAAAAGCUUAUUUAAGCAAAUAUAAGUUUCUCCAAGUUUAGAAAGGAGGUAAUUAGAAGAAUGACACUGCAUUUUCAGAAGGGCUUCGGAUCACUUAGCUGUGCAGAUCAGAGAUGUUACGUAGUCCCUUAAAGCUCCACGAAGCGGGGACCUGGGGCAGCCCCAGGAAAUAAAGCCUUGCACCUAUUUCUCGAGUCCAAAGCGGCGAAAGGGUUAAGGAGUCCUGAACGGGGCUCGCACAAGGGCAAUUGGAAAAACCGAAUCGCUUCCAAGACAUCCGUUUAGUCAGUACCAAAAAAAAAAAAAAGAAAAAAGAAGCCUUGCAAAAUGUGGUUUGGGGAAACCUGCAGAGGAAAUGGACACAGUCUGCGCUUCAGGGCUCAGUCCUCACGGUGAAGCUGAAGGAAUCAGCAGCUUCCAGUUAACACAAUUCAACCCCAGAUGAUUCUGUCCGUGGACUUCUCCUGUUCAUAGGGUGCAUAGUUUCAUAUGUAUUUUUUUACCACCACACAAAUCAAGCACGCUCGACCAGGUUUUUAAGGAUUGGAUGAUUUAUGUGCAUCAAAUCGGAUCUCUGAAAGCUUUUGUUUCACUCGCAUGUUUGAUAAUAGUUCUGUUAUCAGCAAUGUGCAUCUGUAAAUGUUAAGAAUCUAAAGUUUGUCCUUUAUUGUGACAUUGUAGGAACGAAAAUGUAGAAUAUAAUGAAGUAAACCUUUUAUUACGUUUCAGCACACGACGUAAAAUAAAGUUUCGGAGACGUUAAGUGCAAGGAACUAGACUGUCCUAGAGCAAAAUCGCUUUAAAAAAACAGAGAAAAAGACCCAUGUCAUUACCAAAUGUGGUCUGUAUGAUUUGCUUAAGUAAAUUAACGGGUGUUUGAAAAUGUGCGUGUCACUAUAUAUUGAAUUAAGCAUAUAUUGCUCUAAGUAAUGAAAUAAAAUAAUCUGGAUUUGGUCAGCA